rnacentral:tRNA from 1 species
AGUAAAAUCAGCUAAUAUAAGCUCUUGGGCCCAUGCCCCAAAAAUGUAGGCUUGCACCCUUCUUUUACUG